rnacentral:lncRNA from 1 species
UUUUCCUGCCCCAACAGAAAGUUUUGGAAGCGUUUCCUGGCUUCAUCUUGCCAUCUUACUCUGGAGUCUAGUUACAAUGAGGAACCCCCGUCUGAGCCCAAGGGAGCCCAGCUUCGCUCUCUCAACAUCUCUUCCACCACUUCCCGGGGGCUAAGUGGAAAUUCACUCCAGACAGCAGUUCUGCCCCAUCAGGGCACAGCUCGCGUCUGGGCCAGAACUUCAUCUCUUCAUUGCAGAAAGUUAAGGAAAUCAUUGCUCAGCCAGGGAGCAAAGAUUGGCUCUGCAGUUGCUCUUUUAUGGAGCUGUUAACGCAGAGACACCAUUACUUAAAUGUAAUUUUUAGUAUUACAAUUAAAGACUGAUUUGAUUUUAUGAGAUCAUGCAUUUUUAUUUUAUGGACGUUUUUGUAGUUAAAUUCAAUUUAAAAGAUUGUAUUUAAAGUAAGGUAUAAGCACGGAGCGUAUUAAAGUUAUGUAAGCCUGCUUUUGGCGCUGUGAUAGCAAAGCUUCCAGCACUGGAUUACUCUGGUAGCGCCACAUGUUUCCUGCUACAACUACGUACUAGCUCAGGAGAAACGAACUUGGCUUCCUCUGUUUGUGACAGCCCCAAAUCUGUCAAGCCUCACGAAGCUCACUGUCAGUUUUCUGCAGGAAAGAAACACUCCUCUCCUUUCAGCCGA